UAAAUGCCGCACAAUGCGUGUUUUUUUUAUCGACCGGCGUAACAAUAGCAAACCUGGCUAGUUGUAAACAAUGACUGGCCGAGUGAGGAUUUCCGACUUCCGAGUUUUGGAAAGGUGAUUAAAAAAAAACACCAGCUUCCAAACACUUCAGAUACACCUCCAUGAUGGAAGUGGCUGUCUUCGGCCUCUCCUCUGGCUUUUCAGAAGGGUCCACCACUGUGGCACCCUGGCUCGUGUUGCAACCCAUGAUCUGGCGAUAUCUAGGAGUCUACAGCGCACUGUACAGCUGACGGGAGUCCAGUUGCAUAUAGAGUGUUACAAGACUUGUCAUAACCUUAUAACCUGUAUUCCUGUUGUGGGCUCAGGUGCCUUUGUUCCCUAUGGCAACCUCUAAACUUCCUGUUGAGUAUGGGCUCCUGACUGUGUGUUGGUUUUAUUUUUUACGAGCCUUUGUCUGCCAGCUGUCCUGCCUUACUGUAAUUACCUAAGCAACAUUGGUUGACAAUUAACUGAGCGUAGCGUGCCAAAACACGGUUACUGAUAAACACUGAUGGGAUUGUGUGUCAAUCACAGGGCAGCCACGGUUACCAACUUUCCCACAAUGCUGCAUGUCAUCCCUUCUCUCUCUCACGCACACAUUUCCUGUCACUCUCUUCAGUUGUUCUAUCAAAAUAAAAGGCAA